UACGUAGGGGGCUAGCGUUGUCCGGAUUCAUUGGGCGUAAAGCGCGUGUAGGCGGCCCGGUAAGUCCGCUGUGAAAGUCGGGGGCUCAACCCUCGAAUGCCGGUGGAUACUGUCGAGCUAGAGUGCGGAAGAGGCGAGUGGAAUUCCUGGUGUAGCGGUGAAAUGCGCAGAUAUCAGGAGGAACACCAAUUGCGAAGGCAGCUCGCUGGGACGUGACUGACGCUGAGACGCGAAAGCGUGGGGAGCAAGCAGG
rnacentral:rRNA from 1 species